rnacentral:rRNA from 1 species
UUUGAGAUUCAUAUCACCCUGGAAAGGCCAAAUCUCACCAGAUCGUGGAAGCUAAGCAGGGUUGGGCUGGUUAGUACUUGGACGGGAGAAAUUUUCUUUCUUGACUUUUUCUUUUCUCUCAAAACAAAUUUCCCAAAC